rnacentral:rRNA from 1 species
AAAUUGCGCGUCGACAUGUGAACUGCAGGACACAUGAACAUCGACGUUUCGAACGCACAUUGCGGUCCAUGGAUUCCGUUCCCGGGCCACGUCUGGCUGAGGGUCGGCUACGUAUACUGAAGCGCGCGGCGUUUGCUCGUCGCUCCGCUUCGGAGACUUGGGAGCGUCGUGGGCGACCGUUUCGGCGGUUCGGCCGCGUCUCCUUAAACGUGCAAUGCGCGCCCGUCGCCUGGCGGUUCGCAUACCGGUACUAAUUCUCGGUAGCGUGCACAGCCGCCUGGCGACUGCGGUGCGCGCCACUUUCGUACAACGACCUCAGAGCAGGCGAGACUACCCGCUGAAUUUAA